rnacentral:rRNA from 1 species
UGAGGAAUAUUGGUCAAUGGGCGAGAGCCUGAACCAGCCAAGUCGCGUGAAGGAAGACUGCCUUAUGGGUUGUAAACUUCUUUUAUACAGGAAUAAAAAGGCUUACGUGUAGGCCAUUGCAAGUACUGUAUGAAUAAGCAUCGGCUAACUCCGUGCCAGCAGCCGCGGUAAUACGGAGGAUGCGAGCGUUAUCCGGAUUUAUUGGGUUUAAAGGGUGCGCAGGCGGGCUUUUAAGUCAGCGGUGAAAUCUGGACGCUUAACGUCCAAACUGCCGUUGAAACUGGGAGUCUUGAGUAUGGAUGAAGUAGGCGGAAUUCGUUGUGUAGCGGUGACAUGCAUAGAUAUAACGAGGAACUCCGAUUGCGUAGGCAGCUUACUAAGCCAUAACUGACGCUCAUGCACGAAAGCGUGGGGAUCAAACAGGAUUAGAUACCCUGGUAGUCCACGCCGUAAAACGAUGAUUACUAGUUGUAUGCGAUAUGAUAGUAUGUGACUAAGCGAAAGCGAUAAGUAAUCCACCUGGGGAGUACGCCGGCAACGGUGAAACUCAAAGGAAUUGAC